ACCCGAGCCAUAUCAACCUGCAGUUUUCGCCUGGUUUCUCACUGAACUAAGCAGGGUUGAGCCUGGCCAGUACCUGGAUGGAAGACCUCUUGGGGGAAAUCUGAGUUUGCUGCUGGAA
rnacentral:rRNA from 1 species